AUAAUUUAUAUUAGAUAUGGUUAUAAAUUAAAUGAAUAAAAUAGAUUAAAUGAGAAUACUCAUGGGAAAUAUCGGUGUGAUUCCGAAACUAGCCCGUAGCUGUAAAGUGAACAUUGUCAUGGAAAAUCUGGCACACAGACAUGGCAAUGUGAUGAACGAAGUCAGAAUGCCAUGGAUUCUUAUCUGUU
rnacentral:ncRNA from 1 species